GUGUGUGUGGUAUUUUUGAGAUGGAGUCUCCGAGCUAUUUUAACGUCUUAUAUUUUAUAUUCUUAUGGCUCUUUUACAAAAUUGGUGUAAAUAUGCCCCUGUUCUCUAAUACUAAAGGAAAACUAAACAACUGAAUUUACACCCAGUGGCCGUUUGGCUGAAUAUUUCAUAAAUUACAUUUUUCUUCACUUGCCAAAGGAAUAUUCAGGAGCAAUAAGAUAAACAUGGUUUGAAAAGUAUGAUAUUUACUGCAAUUCAUUAGUUCUUGCCAGAGCUGGAGCCAUUUGACAAAGGAGAAAACCAACAAGUAUGCCUCCUGCAUUACUACAGGAAAUGCUGCUGGCCGAUAUUGAGAUCUCCAUGUUGCAGAUAUAUUUGGGAUCAUUUUCCUCUGCAUCUCCUGCGUGCACUAUCUGUCACUAGCGAUAAGAUGCAGGUCAAAACCCUAAACUUCUCUCAAAACUUGCCACGUUGCGUGAAGAGAAUGGAGUAAUCAUCUAGAGCAGAUUUUCAAAGGCUGCAUGGGGUCCUUGUCUCCUUGGAUCUACAGUUGUCCAUUGUGAAGUUGGAGGACAAGUCUCAGAAGUGAAAUCUUACCUGACACCAUGGAGGAGAGAUACCACGCAAGGAAUGAAAAGGGUCGUACCACCUUCCUUUUCUUGUUUCUCCUCCUGGGCCUACCUGGGCUAAUUUGAGAAUGGAAGGAUGAUGGAAUACAAUGUGUGGUGCUAUUGACUUGGUGGGCAAGACCAUUUUGCACUGGGAUGGCAGCCUUAUUGUCUUCUGGCUCUAUUCUUUUCUACUGUUGAAGCUUCUGUACACCACUGUCCAUAAAAAGGGGAUCUUCGCCUGGAGCUAUGUCAUCAGUUAUCUACUAUAUAGGAUCAUUUGUUUGCCAACAAAGCAGACCUACCACUCCACAUACCUACUUUGGACCCCAGCUUCUUAUUUCAGCAAGAUAAGAGAGCUUGAAGAACCCUGCCCCAGGUAUUCAGAGGACCGAAUCCCAUCAGGUGGCACUUUAUGUUCACUGGCCAUUGAUAAUAAAAUGUGUCUUUUAUUUUUCUUUUUGGACAAAAGACUUGCUAAUUGCCUCAUUUUCAGACUGCUCUUUGGAUCAGACUAUGAAUAAGCUGAUCAACAAAGACAUUUUCAAACCAGAAUUCAUAAAGUGAGGUGUGUGACCUUCUUACAGAAGAAAGUAUUACAGUUUUUCUGGAUCAAAUGUCCUUGUCAUUUGAAUAAAAGAGCAUCUUCUUUUCUGCCCACCCGGACAAACGGAAUUGAGUUGAAUCAAUCCCCUUUUGAUCUUGACAUUUUCAAAGUCAUGAAUUAAGCAUUUUGCUGGGGCAGAACCAAAUUUUUACUCUCUACACUUGACCUGUGAAAGGUCAGAAGAUAACAUGCCAGCAUUGAAAUCACAUUUAAAAAUUACUUAUUACUAUUUGCAUUUCCUAUUAUGGUGUUAGCAAUUGGGAUGGAAAGAAGUGAUAUGGAUUUAUAGAAUUAAUCAGAACUUUCUUAAGGAUAGUUCAGCAAAAUUAAAACUUAAUACUUUUCAAAGGAUCUUAUUUCCCAUGCUGAACAUCUGUAUAUUUUAAACAAAAAUAUAAGGAAGGUAGGUAUUAAAGUAUAUACCUUAUGUAAGAGUAAGUACAAUUAUUAAUAUUUGAAUUUAUAAAAUUAUAUUACAGGCAAACUUUAAGUGUAUGUAAUUCAGCCAAGGCAUUAUGCUUCAUUCUGGUCAAAAGCCCGGGGGGAAUUCAGAGCAAGUGUUAUUUCACCCAAGGAUACAAAUAUUUGAAGACUUGUUUUAGUUAUAAAUAUAGGGUAAGGUUAUUACUGGAAGCAAUAGGCAUAUAGGACUGAAAAAAAAAGUUUAUCUUGUUCCUAGUCUUGAAAUGAUUUUUAAUUUACAUUUUAGAAGACAACCCUUUCCUCUCUAACGAUACCAAAUGCUAUUUGUGUAGUAAAAAAAGAUAAUAAUAAAACUUCUUAACUUGUAAAAUUGAAAAGAAGUCGGCCUUAUUUUGCUUAUCCAUAGAAGAUACUAAAGUUCAUCAAACUUAAAAAAAAAAAAAUAGUAUAGUACCCAAAGCAUUGUUAAAAAAAAGAUGAAAGGAAUGAAGGGAUGUCUGAAGUCAAUGACCCAAAACCAUAGACUGAGUUUGUGGAUGUAGUGUGGCUUCUCUAUUUUACCUCUAAUUCUGGGUUCUUCCUACUCCCACAUCCAAAGCUGCCUGGAGCAGUCUUCCAUUCUCUCAGUAUUUGUCCAAGUAGACACUGUUUCUGGAAAGAGUUUCCCACAUGGUUAAGAACAGUUAACUGGCAGUGAGUUUGCAUAAUUUACGAUAAUAGGGUGAUACAAACCAAGCUUUUGUGUCUGAGAUGGUUUUAUAAUUCAGUAGAAAGUCCACAUUAUUUCUUUAGUGUCUCAUCGUAAACAAGGAGUUCUUUCCCCCCAUUCUCUGAUUCUCUGUCUACCUCUCUCUCUACUUUUUUGUUGUUGUUAGCAAAUAGAAGUGAUUGGGUUUGAUCCACAGAGAAUUUUGUCCAAUCCAAUUUAUCCAAAAUUAGAGACCAUUUGAGAACACUUGUGCUAGAAUGUAGCAAGUUAAACUACUUCUUAAAAGUACUAUAUGCAAUUACUGGUCGUUUAGGAAUUAAUGAGUUCUAUGCCGGUUAAACAUCAGUUUUCCAGAAGGUCUUAGUUUUACUUCUGCUUUUGUAAUUGCAUGCCAGAAAGUUGGCAUGAGGGUGCAAACAUCUGUAUUACAGCCUUCCCGUUCUGUGCUAGUUGGAGAAUUUAGUAGGAAAAACUCUCCACUUUGCUUUGGAGCCUGAUUCUGCCACGUUGAUGUAUAAGUUUUCACUUUCCGUAUGUCUGGGAGGGAUGUAAUUAAAUUGCUUCUUGAAAUAAAACAAUGGCAGAAAAGAAAAGUCAGAUAUUGAGUCCUUGCUACAAAACAGGCAAUUUAAUAUGUGUAAUAAAUUUGCAAAAUGAAGUCACGUUCAGAUAUUGCAGGGUAAAAGUAUUUUUAUAUUGUACAUAUGCAAAGAAACCCCAAGAUUUGGGCUUAUUUAUCAGGAAGAUUACUUUGAAUUUUGGAAUAUUCUUUGAAAAACCAUACCAGUCGCCAACCUGUCUUAAACUCAAAUACACAUAUCUUAAAUUAGUAAAUAAUAAUCUGUUAUUACAUGGAUAAUGUGCAAAUGGAUGAUUCAAGUUCUUAAAAUAUUUUAUUUUAAUAAAUAAAACAUGACCAUUAUGAACAAUUUUUACACUAUAAUUUUCAAAGUAAAUAAUUUUCUGAAAGAAAUAGAUAAGUAAAAGCAAAUUCUAAUUCAGUCCGUCUCUGCCUAAAUUAUUGCUGUUGUUGUUGUUGUUAGGUGCUGUUGAACUGAUUCC